GAUCCUGGCUCAGGAUGAACGCUGGCGGCGUGCCUAAUACAUGCAAGUCGAACGCUUUGUAAAGGAGCUUGCUUCUUUACGAGGAGUGGCGAACGGGUGAGUAAUACAUAAGCAAUCUGCCCAUCGGCCUGGGAUAACAGUUGGAAACGGCUGCUAAUACCGGAUAGGUUAGUUUCUGGCAUCAGGAACUAAUUAAAGUUGGGAUACAACACGGAUGGAUGAGCUUAUGGCGUAUUAG
rnacentral:rRNA from 1 species